UACAGAGGUCUCAAGCGUUUGUUCGGAUUCAUUGGGCGUAAAGGGUGCGUAGGCGGCGCGGUAAGUCGGGUGUGAAAUCUUGGAGCUUAACUCCGAAACUGCAUUCGAUACUGCCGUGCUUGAGGACUGGAGAGGAGACUGGAAUUUACGGUGUAGCGGUGAAAUGCGUAGAUAUCGUAAGGAAGACCAGUGGCGAAGGCGGGUCUCUGGACAGUUCCUGACGCUGAGGCACGAAGGCCCAGGGGGAGCAAACGGG
rnacentral:rRNA from 1 species